rnacentral:lncRNA from 1 species
GAAUUUUGCCAUUUAUAGCAACAUGAAUGGACUUGGAGGGUAUUAUAAUAAGUGAAUUAAGUCAGACAGAGAAAAGACAAAUAUUGUAUGAUUUCACUUCUAUGUGGAAUCUAAAAAACAAAAAACGAGCUAGUGUAUAUGACAAAAAGGUAUCAGACCCGCAGAUAAAGAGAACAAACUCAUGGUUACCAGUGGGGAAAAGGAAGUGGGAGGAGCAAAGCAGGGGUAGGAGAGUAAGAGAUACAACUAUUACGUAUAAAAUAAAUAAGCUACAAGGAUCUAUUGUACAGCAUAGGGGAGAUAGAGAAUAUUUUAUAAUAAAUACAAAUGGAGUAAAGCUUUAAAAAUUGUGAAUCACUAGGUUGUACACCUAUAACUUACAUAAUGUUGUACGUCAACUCUGUGUCAAUAAGAAAUAUGGAAUGGGGGAGUUCCCGUCGUGGCUCAGUGGUUAACAAAUCCGACUAGGAACCAUGAGGUUUGAUCCCUGGCCUCGCUUAGUGGGUUGAGGAUCCGGCAUUGCCGUGAGCUGUGGUGUAGGUUGCAGACGCGGCUCGGAUCCUGUGUUGCUGUGGCUCUGGCGAAGGCCCUCGGCUACAGCUCAGAUUAAACCCCUAGCCUGGGAACCUCCAUAUGCCGCGGGUGUGGCCCUAAAAAGACAUUAAAUAAAUAAAUANGGAAUGGUAUUUUUCAUUUUUCUAGAAAAUUUGUCUAAGAAUAUCUUUGGAGAGUUGAUCCAGAGAGAAAUAUCCCCCUCUUCUUCCUUAAAACACUUCAACUUGUGACAUGUCUAAGUAGUAACAGUUCUAUUCUGGGCCCCCUUGUGACCACACUGUGACGGUUUUAUGUGACCUACUAACCUUACUAACAUCCUUUUUGGGCACCAGUGGUCCAUAGUAAUGGAGUGUGGAGCAAGCGUGUUCUGGUCCCAGAAGGAAUGCUGGGAGGACGAAGGAGAACGUCAAGCACUUUGUUUUCCCUCUCUCCGUAAAUCUUGCAUAUUUAUGUAAGCCACCGAAUAGAAUGCAAACAAAAGGGUAAAUGGUUAGCAUAUUUUUGGAGUAGUUGUUUCUUUCUGAAGUAGAGAUUUAAUGUGGAGGCUCCUCUUGGAAUUUAGGGAAAAAAUAAAAUGGAUGGGAAAAUGUAUCCUGUUGUAUAAAUGCUAUAAAUAUUUAACAUUACAAAUGUACAUCUAUAAAUCAUAAAACAAUAUGCCAAAUAACAGCUGCUUAUUUAUUCUUUGGCCAAAGAUUUAUCUUCCUGAAGUAUGAGUGCUAGUUGGAAGAGUUAUGAAGGGGGAGAGAGAAACUAAAAAAAAAGAGAGAAAAAUAAUAUUUUUCUUUAUUAAUUUCAUUUUCCAAGAGAAGCACAUUCAAAUUCUGACUCAGAGAGGUAACCACUAAGAGGAUUACCCUUCCUGGAAGCAAAGCUUCAAUGCGUUUAAUAACAGCAGGUCUAUGUCUGCCACAUAACUGAAAACGAUCUGAAUGUCUACUGCAAGAAAACUUCACAAACUUUCUGUCACUGGAAGUUCUCUUUCCUGAAUCAAACUGUAUAUAUAAAUUGUAAUAUAUACACUUAGUAGCAUAUGUGUUCAUAAAAUAAUAUCUAUAGCUCACAUUGAAAUGACUUAGUGUAGGCGACAUUGAUAAAUGGUAAAUACGCACUAGGUGAAAAUUAGGUGAUCACAUAUAAUCAUACUUUCAAAUGAAUGCAUAGACUUCCCCUCCACUCCUGCAGCCCUGAUAAUUUUGCUGGAGCUAUUUUUCCAAAGCAAACUUUUAACACAUCAUAGUCCAACUUCCCAUUUUUUCAAGGCUCUUUCACUUGUACCCUUGUUCAAAUGUAUUAUUUGAAAAUUACGAAGAAAAAUUUUGUUUCCUGACAUGCUGAUAUCAUGAGAUAAUAAGAAUGACUGGGCUAAAUGGCAUUAGGGUUUAAAUGGUUGACUGAGCAUUCCCAUCAGGGAAUCCUCACUGUGUUUUGACAUACAUUGGGGUUCAGAGGUUCUCUUUGAAUAUACGUUGGGGUUCAAAGACAUACACUGGGAUUUAAAGACACAAGAGUGUCUGAAAUAUUAAGACUCUGGGUGUUUCUUUAAAUGUGAUGAUGCUUAGUAAUAUAAUUGGAAAGUUAAAGGUGUAUUCAGUUACACUCUGUCUUUGCUGAGAUAUCUGAACUGUCUUAGCUUGAGGCUAAACUCACACGUAAGCUGUAGAGCAUGAUCCUUCACCCAUUCUCCAUCCAAACAAUAUCUGGGAGUGCUCAUCUCAAAACUGGAAAUGACAAUCAUCACUAAAUGCCCUUCCAGCUACGAUUCCACUUUCCUCUCUCACCAUAACAGGAAUUUUCUUGCCCAAGCACAUUUCUCUUUUUAUUAAGCAGAUACUUAUUACUUUGUGUUUAAAGAUCUGCCCUUAAGAAUACUUGGGUUUAAGACCUUACUUCUUUACAUCAUCUGUAUAUGAGCUUUUGGAAGGUUAUUCUCCUUCUCCAAACCUAUUUCUCCAUCUAUAAAAUAUGGAUAAAAACCUUACCCAUUUUGUGAUUAUUAAUGAAAAGAAAAUUCAUUCAAAUUAUUGAGCACAUAUUGGUAUACAGAAAAUAUUAAAAAUAUAAGAUGUAAUUAUGAUCUAAAUUGGAUUUUGAGAAAAUGUGAUGGUAAUUAUUCUGGCAGAAAUGGACUGGUUCUGUCCUCAAAUUAUGACCCACUAAUAAGGUCAUAAGUUUCUAAAAGAAAAGAAAUAAACAAGAGAAGCUUUAAACAUCUCUCUAUCCAAGGACUACAAAUACUCUAUCUCUAUUAUUUAUAUACAGUAAUGGGAAUAUCAUUGAUUUAGGAUUGCAGACUAUUAAUUUCAUCUAUAAAUCAGGCAUAAUAUAAUGUACCCAUUGUUGAACUAAGAAAUUAUAUAACUUCUGCUCUUAUUCCUCGUGUUUUCACUGACCCUGACAUAAAUGAAUUGAAAAGUAGAAAUUUGAAAUACUGGGAUUUGUAUUUUAUCAAAUUGCAGUGCAAAUCCUUUUGCACUACUCUGAGAGUAAAGCCAUUCCACUCAUAGUUCUUUACUUACACGUGAACACAUGCAAAGACCGUAAUGAUGCAUACCUUCUAUAUAGUAUUUUCACUUACAAUUUAGUCCAUCAAAUAUUUCUAUAUAUGCUCUCUAAUGCUUAAUUAGGUAUUUUUUAAAAAUAGGUUAUUUCACAUUCUCCUCAUUUUAGCUUUGUUGUCAUACAUUGCUCAACUUAUAGCAAAAAAGAAAUAACUAGUUUUAUGGUUAAUGAACAAGCAAACAAAAGGAUCAAAACCACCAUGAAAACCCAGUCCUUGCCUCCUAAUUCUUUAAAUGUGUCAGCCAUGAAUGUCUCAAGUUUCCUUUUGACAGCUCAGUAAUUGAGUUAUGUGCAUACAGUAGAGGUCCAUCUCCAUGUAAAUAGGAUUGGAAGGAAGAUUCGGAACUCUGUUCUCAGAAAGCCAAAAUAUUGUUUUAUGCAGUCUAAUCUAGUUCACGAAAUCAAAUUCCAUACAUGAAUUUUGACCAUCAUGGAAUUCCAUGACUUCUUAACCAGUCUUGUCUUUCCCUUUGAACUCCUGGAGAAUAUUUUAUAGUUAAAGCAAUGGGCUAACUGAAGAGACUUUUCUUUCAGCCUGACCUUCUCUCUUAUGCCAUGUGUGUAUAAUCUCUGCUCCUGACUCAUUACCUACUUUCUGGGAUACUGGGCAGAGAAAAUGCCUAGACUGUAGGGAUUUUACCAAAGCCACUGAGGUCACUUUAUAAACAGACUGUGUUUAAAGGAGGUUUUAAGAGCUCCUAGGAAAUGUGAAACCCACUGAGGUUCUGCCCAGGGAAAAGACAACCCCCAAUCUCUAAUUCUCUCUUGCUCAAUCCAUGGAAAAAGAUCCAGUCAGACAAGUUGCUGAGUUUAAGGUCAAACUGAAAUUCUUUUCCCACCUCUUUUCAUUUUUUCCAAGCCAAACAUUUCACUGGCUCUAAUGCAGAAAGCAUAGACGUUUAUCCUUACUUGCCCUAGAAACCCUGUUAUUUUCAUCUUAAAUAACCAGUCUCUCUGGCUUAGAACUUUUAACCCACUACCAAGUGAAGUUUCACUGGAUUUGCUCUCUUCUGAUUUGUCUCAAUUUGUACCAUUUUAACUCACAGAUAUACAAGCCAACGUGUUGAAUUUUACUUAUCUACACAUAACCAGCCAGCAUUUUCCACCUGUGAGAGUUCUCUUCAGUUAAAACCUCAAUUUUCCUCUGCUUUUUGUUAACAGAAGUCCUCUGAAGGUCUCAAUUCUAUUAUCUUUUUUCUUUUUAGUCUAUUCUGACCAGGUCUUUGUUUUCACAACUUAGUUAAUACUUAUGUAAUAGUCACCAAUGACUGCCAUCUUACAAAAUCUAAUGGUCAGAAAUGUAAAAUCUUCAUUUAUAAAACCUCUAGAAGAAAAAGAGGAGAAAACCUUUGUGGACUUGAGUUAGAGAUUUCUUUGAUAUGACAGAAAAAGCCUAAUUCAUGAAAAAAUGAUUAGUUGGACUUUAUCAAACUUAGAAACUUUCUGCUCUUUGAAAAACACUAUUAAAAGAAUGAAAAGACAAACUAGUAUCCAUGAGGAUGUAGGUUUGAUCCCUGGCCUCGCUCAGUGCAUCAGGGAUCCAGCUUUGUCAUGAACUGUGGUGUAAGUCACAGACGUGGCUCAGAUCC